rnacentral:rRNA from 1 species
GGAGUUAGCCGGUGCUUCUUCUGUGAGUGAUGUCCUUCCUGCCGGCUAUUAACCCGCAGGCCUUCUUCCUCACUGAAAGUGCUUUACAACCCGAAGGCCUUCUUCACACACGCGGCAUGGCUGGAUCAGGGUUGCCCCCAUUGUCCAAUAUUCCCCACUGCUGCCUCCCGUAGGAGUCUGGGCCGUGUCUCAGUCCCAGUGUGGCUGAUCAUCCUCUCAGACCAGCUACGGAUCGUCGCCUUGGUGAGCCGUUACCUCACCAACCAGCUAAUCCGACAUAGGCUCAUCCGAUAGCGCGAGGCCCGAAGGUCCCCCGCUUUCCCCCGUAGGGCGUAUGCGGUAUUAGCCUGGGUUUCCCCAGGUUAUCCCCCACUACCCGGGAAGAUUCCUAUGCAUUACUCACCCGUCCGCCGCUCGCCACCAGGGAGCAAGCUCCCCGUGCUGCCGCUCGACUUGCAUGUGUUAGCGUCGCCGCCACGCGUUCAUCUGAGCCAGAUACAACUAACUACGUACGUACGAGACGGCGGUCGGCGACGGACGGCGACUAG